rnacentral:lncRNA from 13 species
UUUUUGCCUUGAAAUUGAUUUUGUCUGAUGACUGUUUUAUCUUGCCUAACCUGCAUCUGGAGUCACCUCAAAAGUGUCAGCAGGAGAGUUUCCACAAAGGAGUGCCCAAGCCAUCCAGAGAUGAAGCUGGUUGAGAUUCCAAAAAAAGCACUGAAUGUUGGGGUGAUCAGUCCAAAGCAUUUACUAAGGGAACUUACAGCAUGCUGCAGAAAUCCUUGCCACCAACAGCAAGAGGAAAUGGGUAUUCUACCUAGGAUGUCCACAGUGAAGGGUUCAGGUAUGGACUUUAUAUGCUGGUUUUAAGAAUUUGGGUCUGGGCCAGGUUAAUUUCUUUCAGUGAUUUGGGCAACAACCUAGAUACCUUUAUUAGUACCUGAAAAUUUUCAGGGCUCCAGCUUGGAUUCAAGCCUGCUAGGAAAAACCUGCAGCUUGCUGAGUCACAGAUCUGUCAAUGCACUCUGUGAUCUUUGGUCCAGGACAUGAAAGGAAAGUUGGGGAAUCUGGGGGACACUAGAAUUUAUACCUCUGACCGGCUCUUGUUAGUUUACAAACCCAUCUCUUCUGAGAUGUUCUCUGAGCUGGCAGGAAAGGGUAGAAUUGCUUUUAAGGUCCAUUUUCCUAACUUUAUGGCACAUUGCCAACAAAACAGCAAUAGUAAAUACAGAUGAGACAGGUGAUGAGACCUGAAACCACAGUUCCCAAAAGGCUUACUAGCGGAGCUUUCCACUGAGGCUUCAAUUCUGAAAACUAUAAUUUUAUUGUAGACCACCAAGAGUCAAACACCUGUGGUCAAGUAGCUGUGAUACCUUUUGUAAAUGAAGGAGGAAUCAAUUAAUAUC